rnacentral:tRNA from 1 species
UGCCCAGAUGGCGGAAUCGGUAGACGCGCUGGUCUCAAACACCAGUGGAUUCACUUCCAUCCCGGUUCGACCCCGGGUCUGGGUACAAA